UUCUUCAUCUAGUAGUAAGGAUACUAUUAUCAGGAAAGUUUUCUCAAGUAGAGUCUCUUCCACUGUCCUUGAGGUGCCACUGACCUUGCAUUUUCCCCAAUUGUGGGAAAAUUAACUGCAUAUUCUGUGGUAGUGAAAAACUGACCC
ensembl:snRNA U1 U1 spliceosomal RNA